rnacentral:rRNA from 1 species
AUGCUUAGGAAUCUGCCUAUUAGUGGGGGACAACAUCUCGAAAGGGAUGCUAAUACCGCAUACGUCCUACGGGAGAGAGCAGGGGAUCUUCGGACCUUGCGCUAAUAGAUGAGCCUAAGUCGGAUUAACUAGUUGGUGGGGUAAAGGCCUACCAAGGCGACGAUCUGUAGCGGGUCUGAGAGGAUGAUCCGCCACACUGGGACUGAGACACGGCCCAGACUCCUACGGGAGGCAGCAGUGGGGAAUAUUGGACAAUGGGGGGAACCCUGAUCCAGCCAUGCCGCGUGUGUGAAGAAGGCCUUAUGGUUGUAAAGCACUUUAAGCGAGGAGGAGGCUACUUUAGUUAAUACCUAGAGAUAGUGGACGUUACUCGCAGAAUAAGCACCGGCUAACUCUGUGCCAGCAGCCGCGGUAAUACAGAGGGUGCGAGCGUUAAUCGGAUUUACUGGGCGUAAAGCGUGCGUAGGCGGCUUAUUAAGUCGGAUGUGAAAUCCCCGAGCUUAACUUGGGAAUUGCAUUCGAUACUGGUGAGCUAGAGUAUGGGAGAGGAUGGUAGAAUUCCAGGUGUAGCGGUGAAAUGCGUAGAGAUCUGGAGGAAUACCGAUGGCGAAGGCAGCCAUCUGGCCUAAUACUGCGCUAGGUCGAAGCAUGGGAGCAACAGGAUUAGAUCCCUGGUAGUCCAUGCCGUAAACGAUGUCUACUAGCCGUUGGGGCCUUUGAGGCUUUAGUGGCGCAGCUAACGCGAUAAGUAGACCGCCUGGGGAGUACGGUCGCAAGACUAAAACUCAAAUGAAUUGACGGGGGCCCGCACAAGCGGUGGAGCAUGUGGUUUAAUUCGAUGCAACGCGAAGAACCUUACCUGGCCUUGACAUACUAGAAACUUUCCAGAGAUGGAUUGGUGCCUUCGGGAAUCUAGAUACAGGUGCUGCAUGGCUGUCGUCAGCUCGUGCCGGGAGAUGUUGGUUAAGUCCCGCAACGAGGCCAACCUUUUCCUUACUUGCCAGCUUUCGGAUGGGACUUUAAGGAACUGCCAGUGACAACUGGAGGAAGGGGG